UAACUUAUAUAAGUAUUUCGUAUAACCCCAACGAUAUGGGUUGGGGGUCUCUACCAGGAACCGUUAAUUCCUGAUUACGAAGAAGAUACC
rnacentral:ncRNA from 1 species